UACGUAGGGGGCAAGCGUUGUCCGGAAUCAUUGGGCGUAAAGCGCGUGUAGGCGGCCCGGUAAGUCCGCUGUGAAAGUCCAGGGCUCAACCCUGGAAUGCCGGUGGAUACUGUCGGGCUCGAGUCCGGAAGAGGAGAGUGGAAUUCCUGGUGUAGCGGUGAAAUGCGCAGAUAUCGGGAGGAACACCAAUGGCGAAGGCAGCUCGCUGGGACGGUACUGACGCUGAGGCGCGAAAGCCAGGGGAGCAAACGGG
rnacentral:rRNA from 1 species